rnacentral:rRNA from 1 species
AUACGGAGGAUGCAAGCGUUAUCCGGAUUCAUUGGGUUUAAAGGGUGCGUAGGCGGUUUUAUAAGUCAGCGGUGAAAUUUUCCGGCUCAACCGGGAUACUGCCGUUGAUACUGUAAGGCUAGGAUAUGGUUGCUGUGGGUGGAAUGUGUGGUGUAGCGGUGAAAUGCUUAGAGAUCACACAGAAUAUCGAUUGCGAAGGCAGCUCACAAAGCCAUUAUUGACGCUGAGGCACGAAAGUGUGGGGAUC